CAGGAUUCCAUCCCAGGAAAUCCCCUCCAGCUGCCUCUGCUCAUGAGAGACUCGCCCAGUCUCCUUGUCUCUUCCAGCUCUAACUUUCCUCUUAUUCAUCUCAAUUAGGUGGAGCUAAAUGUUCAAGUUUUCAGGAACCAGUAGUGAGGACUUGUUCCCAAGGAUGCAAGGGUGAGCUGGGUCUGAGAAACCAACCAGAAGGGUUGCCCAGAAGCACUGGGUAUGGAUCAGAGACUUGGUCACCCCAGCAGCUCUGACUUGGCCUCCAGUGUUUGACCCCGCCCCUUUGAAGCACCAUCCAGCACACUCUGCUGGGGUUUUAUGAUGACAUUAAACAAACCUCAACUGCCUUGGCCACCCUCCAGUGUCCACCCUACUCCCUAUCUUGUUAGCUGUCCAAGAGUUGACAGUCCAGAUGUGCAGAUGUGAUGAGCAGGACAGGGAGAAACAGCCUCAAGGGUACCACCCUUCCCACCCCUUGCUGGUGAAUGAGAAGACACAGUCCAUCUCUGAACUCUCUCUUGGUCCUCUUUCUUCUCACCUCCAGCUACUCUGAUGUUAGGUGAGGAAGAAGGGAUCAGAGAAAAUAGUAAAAGCCUUUUUCCCAGACCACAAAGGCAGUGUGAAUACGGACUGAAAUUCAUAUGAGAGCUGGCUUAUGGUGACAUAUUAUUAGAAGAGAUGUCCUCUCCUGAGGAGGUGCCAGAACCACAUUCCGGAGACUCCGGAAUCACCUGCCGGGCAUGCCGGAACCACCUCUCAGACGUGCCAGAACCAUGUGCCGGACACGCCGGAACCACCUGCCGAGUAUGCCGGAACCACCUUCUCCACUCCCCAGAACCACCUGCUGGACACGCCGGGACCACCUGCUUGACUCGCCAGAACCACCUGCCGGACACGCCAGAAUCGCCAGCCGGCUACGCCACAACCACUUGUCGGACACUCCAGAAUCACCUGCCGGGCAUGAAGCACAACCUCUCAGAACUUGGGUCCUAAGAUUUACCUCCUGUGCCCUCUUCUAUCCCAUAAAACCAAAUUAGAAGCUCAAGUUCACUAAGUUUCUUAGAAACUCUUGGCGAAGUUCCAGCUGUUUCACUUAACUCACAGGAUUCCUGUUUUCAAUUCAGUUUGGAGAUUACACAUAACUUUUUUUUUUUUGCCAGCUCAAUGAGGAACUUAAAAAAAAAAUUUUAAAAUAUUCCAUACAACAUUAUCAUUGUUUCGAUCAGGAGUGGCAUUCAGCAUACCUAAUAUAAUCUGGCAAGUUAUACAGCCCCACUUCUUUAAUCUUUAGCAAAUAGCCCAGCGCUGCUCAAGAGAACUUUCCCUGAAGGUGGAAAUGUUCCAUACCUCCACUGGCCAGUAUGGACUCCACUAGCGACAUGUGGCUG
rnacentral:lncRNA from 1 species